rnacentral:sRNA from 1 species
AAACAUUUGAAAGGAGGUGAUCCAGUGCAUCAUGAGGUAUUGGAGAAGUGUGUCGGGACAACUUGGGAGGAGCGCAGCUAGGGCAGCCCUUGGCUGACGUGAACCCAAGGUGGAGUUCCUAACCGACCCACCUCCGAAAUUCAGGAAAGGGCCAUCCCGUCGCCGGGGUGGCCCU